GAUGAACGCUGGCGGCGUGCUUAACACAUGCAAGUCGAACGAUGAUCCCAGCUUGCUGGGGGAUUAGUGGCGAACGGGUGAGUAACACGUGAGUAACCUGCCCUUAACUCUGGGAUAAGCCUGGGAAACUGGGUCUAAUACCGGAUAUGACUCCUCAUCGCAUGGUGGGGGGUGGAAAGCUUUAUUGUGGUUUUGGAUGGACUCGCGGCCUAUCAGCUUGUUGGUGAGGUAAUGGCUCACCAAGGCGACGACGGGUAGCCGGCCUGAGAGGGUGACCGGCCACACUGGGACUGAGACACGGCCCAGACUCCUACGGGAGGCAGCAGUGGGGAAUAUUGCACAAUGGGCGCAAGCCUGAUGCAGCGACGCCGCGUGAGGGAUGACGGCCUUCGGGUUGUAAACCUCUUUCAGUAGGGAAGAAGCGAAAGUGACGGUACCUGCAGAAGAAGCGCCGGCUAACUACGUGC
rnacentral:rRNA from 3 species